AUUGAACGCUGGCGGCAGGCCUAACACAUGCAAGUCGAGCGGAGCGGCGGACGGGUGAGUAAUGCCUAGGAAUCUGCCUGGUAGUGGGGGAUAACGUCAGGAAACGGGCGCUAAUACCGCAUACUAUCAGAUGAGCCUAGGGCGGAUUAGCUUGUGGGGGGGGUAAAGGUCAACCAAGGCGACGCCCCGUAACUGGUCUGAGAGGAUGAUCAGCCACACUGGAACUGAGACACGGUCCAGACGCCUACGGGAGGCAGCAGUGGGGAAUAUUGGACAAUGGGCGAAAGCCUGAUGCAGCCAUGCCGCGUGUGUGAAGAAGGUCUUCGGGUUGUAAAGCACUUUAAGUUGGGAGGCGUUACCAACAGAAUAAGCACCGGCUAACUUCGUGCCAGCAGCCGCGGUAAUUC
rnacentral:rRNA from 1 species